UACGUAGGGGCAAGCGUUGUCCGGAAUCAUUGGGCGUAAAGAGCGUGUAGGCGGCUCGGUAAGUCCGCUGUGAAAGUCCAGGGCUCAACCCUGGAAUGCCGGUGGAAACUGUCGAGCUAGAGUCCGGAAGAGGCGAGUGGAAUUCCUGGUGUAGCGGUGAAAAUGCGCAGAUAUCAGGAGGAACACCAAUGGCGAAGGCAGCUCGCUGGGACGGUACUGACGCUGAGACGCGAAAGCGUGGGGAGCAAACAGG
rnacentral:rRNA from 1 species